CUCCGAAGAGCGCCCCGCGUGCCCACACUGCACUGCCCGAGGAGCUGCUCCGAUACCUGCCCACCACGGACUGUCACCCAGCGUCCAGGGUUGGGGCCGAGGAGGAGAGAGAUGCUGAGACACCCGGCCACACACUCAACCUCCAGAGUGAGGCGAGAUCCCAGGCGGGCACUAGCUAAGAAAACUAGCUCUGAAGAGGUGGCCAUGAUCACCCAGAAAGUAAGAAAUGAAGCCAGAAUUCUGUACACUACAUUGCUUGGCUCAAGGAUGCAGGCUCAUGGUAGAUAGAGCCGGGGUCUUUUUCAUUAAAUGUACGCUGGAUACUGA